UACAGAGGGUGCGAGCGUUGUUCGGAAUUAUUGGGCGUAAAGAGCUCGUAGGCGGUCUGUCGCGUCGGCUGUGAAAACUCGGGGCUCAACCCCGAGCCUGCAGUCGAUACGGGCAGACUAGAGUGCGGUAGGGGAGACUGGAAUUCCUGGUGUAGCGGUGAAAUGCGCAGAUAUCAGGAGGAACACCGGUGGCGAAGGCGGGUCUCUGGGCCGUAACUGACGCUGAGGAGCGAAAGCGUGGGGAGCAAACAGG
rnacentral:rRNA from 1 species